rnacentral:misc_RNA from 1 species
GGCCUUCAACUGAUCUCAUUAAAUCUGAACUAAUGUAUAUUGAACUAACUAUAUGUUCUCACUAAAAUUUCCACUAAAAAAUAUUAUUGAAGAAAACAACAAUAUAAUAAACCAAACCACUUACAACUACUGAAAUUAACUACUGGGACUUGGACAUGGAGGAGUUGGAAUAUCAAUAAUUCCCUGCAACAUGUGUAAUACUUUUUUCAUGGAAGGACGAAGAGCUGGUUCGUCCUGAAUGCACCAAAUUGCCACAGAGAUCAUUCCUUCCAAGGUCUUCUUGUCUACUUCUUCACUUCCAACAAGUUUGUCUACUUCACCUUCAACAAGACAACUAUAUGCCCAUGUAGAAAGCUGGAUUUCUUCUAUUUUAGUCGCACAGACUUCAAUGUUUCUUCUGCAGCAAAUGAUUUCCAGUAGUACAAUACCAUAGCUGAAGACAUCAACCUUGACUGAGAUGGGGGCAUUUGUUUGCCACUCUGGUGCUAAAUACCCUCUAGUCCCUCUUACACCAGUGAAUGUUCUUGUUUGAUCAGGCAUUAGCAGCUUGGCCAGCCCAAAAUCUGAGAUUUUAGCUGUUAACAACUCGUCAAGUAAG